GACGAGGGAUCCUAGCGUUGCUCGGAAUUAUUGGGCGUAAAGCGGGUGUAGGUGGCUUGGUAAGUCAGAUGUGAAAGCCCUGGGCUUAACCCAGGAAGUGCAUUUGAUACUGCUGAGCUUGAGUGCGAGAGAGGUUAAUAGAAUACCUGGUGUAGUGGUGAAAUACGUAGAUAUCAGGUGGAACACCAGUGGCGAAGGCGACUUACUGGACACAUAUUGACGCUGAGGAGCGAAAGCCAGGGGAGCAAACGGG
rnacentral:rRNA from 1 species